rnacentral:lncRNA from 1 species
UCCCAGGCCAGGGAUCAAACCUGAGCUAUAGCAAUGACAACUCCAGAUCUUCAACCCACUAGGCCACCAGGGAACUCCCAUCUCAUACUAUUAUUAUUCCUAUUUGACACGUGGGGAAAAUCGAGGCUCACUGAAGUCAGCAAAUAACUUCUCAAAGCUACAGUAAGUAGUAGAGGCAGGGAUCAAACUCGGGUGUGAUUCCAGAGCCAGCCAAGGUCACUGCUAGCCUUCCCUCCACCUGGGGAAGAGCUAGAGAAAGGCACUUGCUCAGGGCAAGGACAGUCUCUGAAGUGCAACAGCACUUUUGCCCAAAGUCAGAGAACAUGACUUUAAGUGCAAGGACUCGGGAACUAGAUGUCCUAGAUUCAAAUCCUGACUCCACCACUUACUGGGGGUGUGACCCGGGGCAAGUCAUUGAUAUCUCUGUGCCUCACUUUCCCCAGGAGUAAAAUCAGGGUCGUGGUAAGGCCAUCUCUUGGAGCUGUUAGGGGGACUAAAAGUUAAAUACUGCUUGGCUCAUAGAAAGCACCAAAUGUUAACGAUUAUUAUUAAGAAAAAGAUGCCCGUCCUUCCAGGCAGAUGCAGCCCUGCAGGGUGCAGAACCUGGCAAGCGGAGCAGACAAGAUUUCCGCCCCUCCCUCUGCCUGGUGGCCCCUCCCUCCUCCGGGUGCCACCAGGCAGCACAUGAGUCUACAACCUUACACCAGUCCUGCUGAGCAGUUAACUUCCAUGUGCUGCCAGCUCUUUCUCUCGGCUUCCCCUCCACCAGGCUGGCUGUGAAUCAGAGUCAGCUGGCACACUUUUUAAAAAUACAGACUCCCGGGGCCCCACCUUGGCCAGUUCUGACGCAGGUAGGCUGGGCUAGGGCCCAGCCAUCUGUAUGUUUAACAAGCCCCAGGUGACCAGGUGACCCGGGAACAGUGUGUCCCUGAACACAUGUUUCUGGAAGCACUAGAAGCCUCUCGCACCUGUUCUGGCUGUUUCCAUGGGUCCUUGGGAGCAAGCAGCCUUUCCUUCAUGCUCGGUCCCAGGCCUAGGCAGGCAGAGAAGGGGCGCAGGAAGUCUGUUCCCCUGCAAACCAGCCCACAGAGCAGAUGGCUGUGAGAACAGGCAUCGCAGGCUGAAUUUGCUGUCGUGCUUGAGUGGGUGACACGAGGGACCUCUUACCUGUAGACUUUGGGGUCCCCAGGCCCUUGCUACUCAAAAUACUGUUCACAGAGCAGCAGGACGGUUCCUCCAGGGAGCUUGUUAUAGAUGCAGUUGCUCAGGCCCCUGACCCACUGAAUCAGAUUCUGCAUUUUGCAAAAACUCCAAGAUGAUCUGUGAGCAAGUCUGAGGCACAGGCCUGAGGUCUCUCUCCACCCUGAUCGGAAAAAUCUCUAACCAAUGUGCACCUCUAACCUGUCUAAACCCACCUUGGGGGGGGUCAAUCUUUUCCUUCAAACUUCCAGAGAGCCCCAGAGAAACAGCCUGGGCCUUUCGGUAGCCCAGAUCCAUGCUCAGCAGCCAGGCCGGCGCUCACGGUGAACCUCGGCUUUAAUGAAUUAUUUAUUUCAAAGUCUACAUAAAAAUAACCCUUCCCAAUGCAUUGAGAACGAGACAACAACUCUGGCCUCUAUAAAUCCAGGGCGUACGACAUUCCCUUCUUUUGUAUAGAGCCGUGACCCCUACUUCCCUGGCCAAAGCCAUCCAAAGACAUCUAAUGCCCAAAGAAAACAAGCCACGUCUUCCUGUUGGCCAAGCGUCAAGUUAUCGGGCAGAUUUCACACUGGAGCUUGACCUCAUUAAUCCAGGGCCUAUCACAUUGCUGUAAAUGUCAGUGGAAAAAUAGCCAUUCAGUAGGUUUCCUUCAUUCCACCAGAAAGGGAAAAAACAGGAAGCUGACAGCAGCUGCGCCCCAGCCUGGCAAAUCCCAAGGGCCCGGCUGACAGGCGUUCCUUGUGAGCACCUACAUGCCCUUGGCCCCAGCCCGCUUGUCCAGAUAAAGGUGGGUCCCGUAUCUAUAUAAGCAAAUGCAGCAGUGAUCGUAGCAAUAAUUCGGGCCCCCAAGCACCCGUCCAGGCAAGAAAAUUGCUUGGUCUGAAUUUCUUUGGCCUGCACUACUAGUUGGCUGUUCAUCAUUCAGGUCCAUCCGAAUCUCGUCUGCCCAUUCAAAUGUCCUGCACGCCAAACCUCUGGGACUCCAAGGGACAUAAGGCCAUCCAAGUCCUCAUUCAUCCCGUUAAUGCAUAUUGAUUGUCUCCUGUGUGCCGGCCACCGUGCUGGGCAACCGGGGACACAGGGCUGAAUGAAUCAGACACAGUCACUGAUCUCAGAGGCUGCACGUCCAGGGUAAGCUUUCUCAAGCUCGGCAAGAUCGACCCUUGGGAUGGAACAAUUUUUUGUCGUUGGGGGGUGGAGGAAAAUUUUGUGCACAUUACACUGAUAUUAUCUACGAUGUUGGAGCCAAUUUUAUGUAUGAUUAUAAAUCCUUAUGACAACUCUGAAUUACACUCAUAUAUAUGAUCUAUAUCUCCAGGUGAAAAAAUUGAGACUCAAGGAAGCGAAGUAAUUGACGGAAGCCCAAAAGCCAGUGAAAGGCAGAGGCAGGAUUUGAACCCUGGCCCUGAACUUUCCCUCCCCUAGAAAAGGAAAUCCGAGCCUUUGUUUCUCAGAGUCUUCUGUAAACAGGUAGGGUGUGUGGUCACGUGACACUCUGCCCGGCCAUUCUAAAAGAGGCAUUCCUUCCUGGGGUCACCGUGGAGCUCAGUCACCACCUGCUGUAUCAAUCAAGCUGCAAACUGCCUGUGUCAAGGCACAUUUGUGGGACACUAGCAGGCCGAGGAAGGCCCCCUGAGUUCUGAAACAUCCAAGAACAGCUCCCAUCACCAAGCACCUGAACACAGGCCCUUCCCAAAAAUUAGGGCCAGGAGAGAAUGGGGCAGUCCCCAGGUACCUGGAGUACAACCCACUGUGACCCGUCCCCAGGCAUCCAGGGAUACACGGGGAAAGAAGCCAGACAUCCUGCAGUCAGCGUUAGGUAUUUACUAAGAACAUGAGUGAGGGGAUGCACGCAGCACAGAGCAGCGUUAGACCCCCAGGUGUGAGCU